UCCGGACUGACCACGUAGCUUGGUCCUACAUGGCCAGUCACCUUACAGAGGCAACCAAAGAUUUUCACUGACAACACAGAACUAAAAAUGGGCAUCAAGCUUUGCCAAGAGGACAGCAGAUUGUUCAAAAAUACACUCCUGGAAGUAAACAUUCAACUAAGCCAAGAAAGUCGGCGUACAUUUUAGGAGACGGACAAGGAAGGACGGCUGCAAGAUACGAAUCAAGCUCUGAGGGAGGGAUGCGGUUUGAAGGCCAUCUAGGAUGACAAAACUUACCCAGGACUACACAUAUCUCAAAGCUCUAUCACAGUGGGCAUCCAAGAAGUGCUGUACAACGGAUGAACGAGUGCUUAGUUCAGUGCUCUGCACAAACCAUAAGCUCAUUGUGGGCAGGGAACGAAUCCAACAAU